AAAUUUUAUUCUGUACACGCUUCUUGAGUGAGAGUAGUACUAGGAUGGGUGACCUCCUGGGAAGUCCUCGUGAAAGGGUUUC
rnacentral:rRNA from 1 species